rnacentral:rRNA from 1 species
GACGUAGGGCGCGAGCGUUGUCCGGAUUUAUUGGGCGUAAAGAGCUCGUAGGCGGCUUGUCGCGUCGACUGUGAAAUCCCGCGGCUCAACUGCGGGUCUGCAGUCGAUACGGGCAGGCUAGAGUUCGGUAGGGGAGACUGGAAUUCCUGGUGUAGCGGUGAAAUGCGCAGAUAUCAGGAGGAACACCGGUGGCGAAGGCGGGUCUCUGGGCCGAUACUGACGCUGAGACGCGAAAGCGUGGGGAGCGAACAGG